CCAGAGCCUGAAUCAGCAUGUGUGUUAGUGGAAGCGUCUGGAAAGGCGCGCGAUACAGGGUGACAGCCCCGUACACAAAAGCGCAUGUGCUGUGAGCUCGAUGAGUAGGGCGGGACACGUGGUAUCCUGUCUGAAUAUGGGGGGACCAUCCUCCAAGGCUAAAUACUCCUGACUGACCGAUAGUGAACCAGUACCGUGAGGGAAAGGCGAAAAGAACCCCGGCGAGGGGAGUGAAAAAGAACCUGAAACCGUGUACGUACAAGCAGUGGGAGCACCCUUUUGGGUGUGACUGCGUACCUUUUGUAUAAUGGGUCAGCGACUUAUAUUCUGUAGCAAGGUUAACCGUAUAGGGGAGCCGUAGGGAAACCGAGUCUUAAUUGGGCGUUAAGUUGCAGGGUAUAGACCCGAAACCCGGUGAUCUAGCCAUGGGCAGGUUGAAGGUUGGGUAACACUAACUGGAGGACCGAACCGACUAAUGUUGAAAAAUUAGCGGAUGACCUGUGGCUGGGGGUGAAAG
rnacentral:rRNA from 1 species